AUGACUGCAUGGAGCGCCAUUACCUUCCUGCUGGAGCGGUACCUAUUGAUCUACUCACACUCUGGGCGUUGGUGCUCAUCUCCAUUUCUAAGCCCAAGAGCCGGCAUUGUCCAUAGACAUCUCCAAGGUAAUGUGACCAGCAUGACUGCAUGGAGCGCCAUUACCUUCCUGCUGGAGCGGUACCUAUUGAUCUACUCACACUCUGGGCGUUGGUGCUCAUCUCCAUUUCUAAGCCCAAGAGCCGGCAUUGUCCAUAGACAUCUCCAAGGUAAUGUGGCCAGCAUGACUGCAUGGAGCGCCAUUACCUUCCUGCUGGAGCGGUACCUAUUGAUCUACUCACACUCUGGGCCUUGGUGCUCAUCUCCAUUUCUAAGCCCAAGAGCCGGCAUUGUCCAUAGACAUCUCCAAGGUAAUGUGACCAGCAUGACUGCAUGGAGCGCCAUUACCUUCCUGCUGGAGCGGUACCUAUUGAUCUACUCACACUCUGGGCGUUGGUGCUCAUCUCCAUUUCUAAGCCCAAGAGCCGGCAUUGUCCAUAGACAUCUCCAAGGUAAUGUGGCCAGCAUGACUGCAUGGAGCGCCAUUACCUUCCUGCUGGAGCGGUACCUAUUGAUCUACUCACACUCUGGGCGUUGGUGCUCAUCUCCAUUUCUAAGCCCAAGAGCCAGCGUUGUCCGUAGACACCUCCAAGGUCAUGUGGCCACGGGCAUGACUGCAUGGAGCGCCAUUACCUUCCUGCUGGAGCGGUACCUAUUGAUCUACUCACACUCUGGGCGUUGGUGCUCAUCUCCAUUUCUAAGCCCAAGAGCCGGCAUUGUCCAUAGACAUCUCCAAGGUAAUGUGGCCAGCAUGACUGCAUGGAGCGCCAUUACCUUCCUGCUGGAGCGGUACCUAUUGAUCUACUCACACUCUGGGCGUUGGUGCUCAUCUCCAUUUCUAAGCCCAAGAGCCGGCAUUGUCCAUAGACAUCUCCAAGGUAAUGUGGCCAGCAUGACUGCAUGGAGCGCCAUUACCUUCCUGCUGGAGCGGUACCUAUUGAUCUACUCACACUCUGGGCGUUGGUGCUCAUCUCCAUUUCUAAGCCCAAGAGCCAGCGUUGUCCGUAGACACCUCCAAGGUCAUGUGGCCACGGGCAUGACUGCAUGGAGCGCCGUUACCUUCCCGCCGGAGCAGUACCUAUUGAUCUACUCUCAUUUGCAUGUUUUCGAACUGCUAGGUUGGCAGGAGCUGGGGCUAACAGCGGGCGCUCAAGCCGCUCCCGGGAUUUGA
rnacentral:lncRNA from 1 species